GUGGCAAAUAUGAAAAACAACUAAACGCAACCAUUAAAGUUCAUCUCAAAAAUAGAAAAUGCCAACUCAAAGAAAGAUCUAGGCAAGUCUCAACUUUAAAUUAUCAACUAAUGUAGGCUUACGCUAAUAUAAUGACAAUAAUGUAAUGAUUAAUACAUGUCCAAAUGUAUUGUAUUUGUAACUAACUUAAACUACAAACAGUGAACGUUUCCAAGGAACAAAGGAUAUGGAAAACGUCAAAAGGCCUACAAAUUGAAUUUUUGGACUAUAUGCAACCUUAGACCUUGCUUCUAGCACUGUUGCACAUAUACACUUUGUUUAUGAAAAUAAGAGGUGAAGUAGAGGAAAGAUUCUCUCCUCUUGUUUGGGAACACAAUUGAAGAGUAAAAUUAAUAUAUUCAUUUUCCUACAUUACCUUCAUUUUAGUUUGGGAUAUUUUAGACUUUUAAGUUUUAAUAGCAAGUCUCGUUAAAUGAAUUAAAUUCUUGCAAAAUCCUAUCACAUUUUGCAUGAUUUCAUUUCUUUUAGAAUAAGUUAUUCUUAAACUUGAAAGAAAUGAAUUAAAGAAUUUAUAUACUUUCCAAACAUGAAAAUUAACAGAAUAGAAAUCAAUUAAAUCGAAUUCUUGCAACUUUUAGUGAAAGGGUUUGGUGGGCCCAAGAGACAAUCCCCAAUUUUACCUUCCCUCCAUUUUCACCACUUCUCAAACAAGAGAAAGCCUCCCUCUUUUGCCACCCUGCACUUUCACCCUUUCCGAACAAAGCAUUAGUUCACUCAAAUGCAGCUUAGCAUCUUUAAAGUGACACUAAUCACUGCAUACAAUGUAUGUGUCUUUAAAGUGACACUAAGAGCUUGGAUCCAGCUCAGAUUUUCCAUGUGAAUGAAAGAUAAUCUAAGAUAUGUGGUUCAAUGAACAGAUAAAGAGCAGAUGAGAAAAGAAAGCAAUAAGCAAUCAACAUAUUAACCUGAAAGACAUUUCUUGACACUCUGAAUUUGUUUGACAGGUCAACAUAGACCCCAAAACCCAAAUGCUGAAUAUGACAUACAUUUAUAUCCAAUUGAAAUACAGCAAAAAUAUAAACCAAAAAAAAGGAAAAAAAAACCAACCU
rnacentral:misc_RNA from 1 species